rnacentral:rRNA from 1 species
CGAGUGGCGGGACGGGUGAGUAACGCGUGGGUAACCUGCCUUACACAGGGGGAUAACACCUGGAAACAGGUGCUAAUACCGCAUAAGCGCACAGGGCCGGCAUGGCCCGGGUGUGAAAAACUCCGGUGGUGUAAGAUGGACCCGCGUCUGAUUAGCUUGUUGGCGGGGUAGAGGCCCACCAAGGCGACGAUCAGUAGCCGGCCUGAGAGGGUGGACGGCCACAUUGGGACUGAGACACGGCCCAAACUCCUACGGAAGGCAGCAG